rnacentral:rRNA from 1 species
AGGGCACCACCAGGAGUGGAGCCUGCGGCUUAAUUUGACUCAACACGGGAAAACUCACCCGGCCCGGACACUGGAAGGAUUGACAGAUUGAGAGCUCUUUCUUGAUUCAGUGGGUGGUGGUGCAUGGCCGUUCUUAGUUGGUGGAGUGAUUUGUCUGGUUAAUUCCGAUAACGAACGAGACUCUAGCCUAUUAAAUAGAUCGUUGGCUUACAAACGCCGGCGAGACUUCUUAGAGGGACAGGCGGCGAUUCAGCCGCACGAAACAGAGCAAUAACAGGUCUGUGAUGCCCUUAGAUGUCCGGGGCCGCACGCGCGCUACACUGAAGUGAUCAGCGUGCAUUUUGAAACCUACUCUGUCAAGAGUGGGGAACCCAAUGAACCUUCUUCGUGAUUGGGAUAGGGGAUUGUAAUUAUUCCCCUUGAACGAGGGAUUCCCAGUAAGCGCGAAUCAUAAGUUUGCGCUGAUUACGUCCCUGCCCUUUGUACACACCGCCCGUCGCUACUACCGAUUGAAUGUUU